rnacentral:rRNA from 1 species
UGGGGAAUAUUGGACAAUGGGCGCAAGCCUGAUCCAGCCAUGCCGCGUGAGUGACGAAGGCCUUAGGGUUGUAAAGCUCUUUUGGCGGGGACGAUAAUGACGGUACCCGCAGAAUAAGCCCCGGCUAACUUCGUGCCAGCAGCCGCGGUAAUACGAAGGGGGUUAGCGUUGUUCGGAAUUACUGGGCGUAAAGCGCGCGUAGGCGGACUAUUAAGUCAGGGGUGAAAUCCCGGGGCUCAACCCCGGAACUGCCUUUGAUACUAGUAGUCUAGAGUUCGAGAGAGGUGAGUGGAAUUCCAAGUGUAGAGGUGAAAUUCGUAGAUAUUUGGAGGAACACCAGUGGCGAAGGCGGCUCACUGGCUCGAUACUGACGCUGAGGUGCGAAAGUGUGGGGAGCAAACAGGAUUAGAUACCCCUGUAGUCC